rnacentral:lncRNA from 9 species
AGCAUAGGCUGCAGAUGCAGCUUGGAUCUGGUGUUCCUGUGGCUGUGGCAUAGGCUGCAACUGCAGCUCCAAUUCAACCCCUGGCCUGGGAACUCCCAUAUGCUGCAUGUGCAACUUUAAAAAGAAAAAAAAAGCAUAUUGGUUAUUUAUUUGAAACUCAUAUUCAAAUGGGUAUCCUGUUUUUUACCUGGCAGCCCUAGAACAGGCUCUUGUGAGCCUUCCUUCUUCUGGGAGCUUCAGGAUUCCUCCAUUCCCCUCCAUCUGGAUACCAGUAGCAGUGGUUAUACUGCAAAGAACUCUGCACUAGAAGAAGGUGAAAGAUUUUUCUUCCCUUGUUUGGAGCAAAGUGCUCUUGUCAGAGUUCACGAGAAGUGUUAUAAAGGAGGUGAGCGAUCUCUUGGAAGAGCAGCUUGUCCCAGUUAUGCGAGGUCUACAAAAGAGGAUACACAUGGAGAGUGCAUUCAAAAUCGAAUGAGAGCUCGGUGAGAGAAGAUAGUAAGAGUUUGUUAAAAGAGCAUGGAACAAACACAAUGAACUUCUUUGCAGAACAGAUACUGACUCACGGACUUUGAAAAACUUAUGUUUUCCAAAGGAGACAGUUUGGCAGGUGGGGGGAUACGCGGGGGGUGUGGGAUGGAAAUCCUAUAAAAUUGGAUUGUGAUGAUCAUUGUACAGCUAUAAAUGUAAUAAAUUCAUUGAGUAAUAAAAAAAAUAAAGUGCACUCAAAAAAAGCACAUGGAACAAAAAUAGAACCUUUGGCAGAACAAGAGAAAGAUAAGGAAACAAAUGGAAUGAUAUUAAGGUAAAACAUUGCUCCCCCUUAGGGAGUGCUUAUUAUACACCAUUCUUCUGGAAUCUUUGUAUAUUUCAUCUCAACCCUCAUAGCAACCUAUGAAAAUCAGAAAACUGGUCAGUUGAAGGUGCAAGUGGAGGUGUUGAAAUACCAAGGAGGAAAUGAGAACUUCAAGAGCGAUG